CAGGUACAAAGGGUGACUAGUGAGGUGAUCAGAGAAAAGGACAACUGUCUGAAAAGAAGCUGGGCCUGGCAAAGCAGAGGUUGAGAGCAUUGCUGUCUAUAAAUAUAUGAUGAGGAACAUCUGGUGGCACCAUACUGUCCAGAACCUCAAGACGUGCCCCUGCCAGAAGAAACAUCAGGCUCCAUCUCAGCAAGGGAGCAGAGCCAGAAUGUGUCUAUACAUUAACUGGAAUUUAUGGAAGUCAUGAAAGCUAAUCAUAUGCUAUGAUUCAAUGGACCUGGAGUUAGAAGCUUGUAUUCCUUCCAUAGCUGGAGUAGAGAUGGGCCUCUCCAGGGCAGGAUUCAUGAAA